rnacentral:rRNA from 1 species
CCUACGGGUGGCAGCAGUAGGGAAUAUUGCUCAAUGGGGGCAACCCUGAAGCAGCAACGCCGCGUGGAGGAUGACGGUUUUCGGAUUUUUAACUCCUUUUGUUAGAGAAGAUAAUGACGGUAUCUAACGAAUAAGCAACGGCUAACUCCGUGCCAGCAGCCGCGGUAAUACGGAGGGUGCAAGCGUUACUCGGAAUCACUGGGCGUAAAGGGCGCGUAGGCGGGAUAGCAAGUCAGAUGUGAAAUCCUAUGGCUUAACCAUAGAACUGCAGUUGAAACUGUUAUUCUAGAGUAUGGGAGAGGUAGGUGGAAUUCUUGGUGUAGGGGUAAAAUCCGUAGAGAUCAAGAGGAAUACUCAUUGCGAAGGCGACCUGCUAGAACAUAACUGACGCUGAUGCGCGAAAGCGUGGGGAGCAAACAGGAUUAGAUACCCGAGUAGUC